AGUUCGGAUUGUAGGCUGCAACUCGCCUACAUGAAGUCGGAAUUGCUAGUAAUCGCGGAUCAGCAUGCCGCGGUGAAUACGUUCCCGGGCCUUGUACACACCGCCCGUCACACCAUGGGAGUCGGCAACACCCGAAGCCUGUAGUCUAACCGCAAGGAGGACGCAGUCGAAGGUGGGAUUGAUGACUGGGGUGAAGUCGUAACAAGGUAUC
rnacentral:rRNA from 1 species